rnacentral:rRNA from 1 species
GUCAACAUAGCMAUAUGUGGCAUACGGCUCAGUAACACGUAGUCAACAUGCCCAGGGGACGUGGAUAACCUCGGGAAACUGAGGAUAAACCGCGAUAGGUCAUCACUUCUGGAAUGGGUAAUGACUUAAGUCUAUAUGGCCCCUGGAUUGGACCGCGGCCGAUCAGGCUGUUGGUGAGGUAAUGGCCCACCAAACCUGUAACCGGUACGGGCUCUGAGAGGAGGAGCCCGGAGAUGGGCACUGAGACAAGGGCCCAGGCCCUAUGGGGCGCAGCAGGCGCGAAACCUCUGCAAUAGGCGAAAGCUUGACAGGGUUACUCUGAGUGAUUUCCGUUAAGGAGAUCUUUUGGCACCUCUAAAAAUGGUGCAGAAUAAGGGGUGGGCAAGUCUGGUGUCAGCCGCCGCGGUAAUACCAGCACCCCGAGUGGUCGGGACGUUUAUUGGGCCUAAAGCAUCCGUAGCCGGUUCUACAAGUCUUCCGUUAAACCCACCUGCUUAACAGGUGGGCUGCGGAAGAUACUAUAGAGCUAGGAGGCGGGAGAGGCAAGCGGUACUCGAUGGGUAGGGGUAAAAUCCGUUGAUCCAUUGAAGACCACCAGUGGCGAA